rfam:Triticum urartu cultivar G1812 contig972337, whole genome shotgun sequence.
CAAGUACUCCCUCCGUCCGGAAAUACUUAUCAUCAAAAUGAAUAAAAGGGGAUGUAUCUAGAUGUAUUUUAGUUUUACAUAUAUCCCUUUUUGUUCAUGUUGAUGACAAGUAUUUUCGGACGGAGGGAAUAGGUA